UACGUAGGGUGCAAGCGUUGCCCGGAUUUAUUGGGCGUAAAGGGCGCGUAGGCGGCUCGGCACGUCCGUUGUGAAAUCGCUCGGCUCAACUGGGCGGGGUCAGCGGAUACGGCGUGGCUGGAGCAAGCUAGGGGGCAAUGGAAUUCCCGGUGUAGUGGUGGAAUGCGUAGAUAUCAGGAGGAACACCGGUGGCGAAGGCGGGUCUCUGGGCAGUAACUGACGCUGAGGAGCGAAAGCGUGGGGAGCGAACAGG
rnacentral:rRNA from 1 species